CACAGUAUUCUAAUAAAAACACGCACACUGAUAAGUAUGCAUUUAUGAACUCUGUCGUUUGGGUCAGAUGUAUUGUGAUUUCUUGUGUAAUAUAUAACAAUUAAUUUGCUAAUAUAACGAAAAACUUAUUGAAGAUGAAGGUAGAAAUUCCUGAAUUUACGAGAUGUUGUUUCUGUUUUCCAUUGAGUCACUCAAGUUUACUUGAUAAUACUAGUGCGAAGCGAAGUCCGGAAGCUUGAAAGGAGUUCCAACUACCUAUUCACUAACCCCACAACCACUGCGGAAGAGCAGACUACGGACACGAACAUGAUUGCUUAACUUUUGUCUCUUGUUUUUUUAUUUAAAAUAUUUUGUUAUUUAGAUAUAUUUCUAAAUGAAUUUGUAAAUAUU